CAUGCCUAACACAUGCAAGUCGAACGGAAACGAUGCUAGCUUGCUAGCAGGCGUCGAGUGGCGGACGGGUGAGUAAUGUAUAGGAACUUGCCUAGUAGUGGGGGACAACGUGUGGAAACGCACGCUAAUACCGCAUAAUCUCUACGGAGGAAAGUGGGGGACCUUUCGGGGCCUCAUGCUACUAGAUGGGCCUAUAUCGGAUUAGCUAGUUGGUAAGGUAAUGGCUUACCAAGGCGACGAUCCGUAGCUGGUUUGAGAGAAUGAUCAGCCACACUGGGACUGAGACACGGCCCAGACUCCUACGGGAGGCAGCAGUGGGGAAUAUUGCACAAUGGAGGAAACUCUGAUGCAGCAAUGCCGCGUGUGUGAAGAAGGCCUUAGGGUUGUAAAGCACUUUCAGACGUGAGGAAAAGUAAUAAGUUAAUAACUUGUUGCCCUGACGUUAACGUCAGAAGAAGGACCGGCUAACUCCGUGCCAGCAGCCGCGGUAAUACGGAGGGUUCCCAAGCGUUAAUCGGAAUUACUGGGCGUAAAGCGCGCGUAGGCGGAUAUUUAAGUCAGAUGUGAAAUCCCUGGGCUCAACCUAGGAACUGCAUUUGAAACUGGAUAUCUAGAGUAUGGUAGAGGUGAGUGGAAUUUCAGGUGUAGCGGUGAAAUGCGUAGAGAUCUGAAGGAACAUCAGUGGCGAAGGCGACUCACUGGGCCAUUACUGACGCUGAGGUGCGAAAGCGUGGGUAGCAAACAGGAUUAGAUACCCUUGGUAGUCCACGCCCUAAACGAUGUCAACUAAGUGUGUGGGAGUUUAACUCCUGCGUAUUGAAGCUAACGCGAUAAGUUUGACCGCCUGGGGGAGUACGGUCGCAAGACUAAAACUCAAAUGAAUUGACGGGGGCCCCGCACAAGCGGUGGAGCAUGUGGUUUAAUUCGAUGCAACGCGAAGAACCUUACCAGGUCUUGACAUGUACGGAAGUUUCCAGAGACGGAAAUGUGCCUUCGGGAACCGUAACACAGGUGCUGCAUGGCUGUCGUCAGCUCGUGUCGUGAGAUGU
rnacentral:rRNA from 1 species